GGGAGGGGCUGGAGGCGCUCAGCCCAGACAGCCAACCCGGGCAGGGCGAGGGAGGGCUUUCCUUGUCCGGCGGCGGGUCCCGGCGCGGGGGCGGUAGGAGGCGCGCGCGGGGUGUGGAGUACUGAGGUGUCGGGGCCAUCGAGAGCUGGCUGCCGUGGAGGGAGGAGCUGGACAGGAUUUUAUCAAAGUACAGGACCACCUACCCCAGGCAGCAUGUGAAAGCUGCUGGCUGCAAUCUCACUCCACACACCCCUCCUCCUCAAGGAUGACCAGCAAGAUUCAUGAGCACAAGGAGGCCAGUGAAGAGAUCUCCCUGGAAACCCUGAUCUGUUGGGACUCAGGACCCUGCUGCUAGCCAGGCUGAAGACUGAUUCCUGCCCUGCAGCAACCAACUUUGAUUCCCAGCAAGCAACCCAAACCAGGACGGAGGAGGCUGAUCCUAUGGAGGGAACCUUGACAUGUAGUCAUCCCAGGUCUGCAGAACGAUCUUUUCCCACCAAUCCACGCUGGUUUUCCAAGCCCAGAAAUGGCACUGCAUGCUCCGAAGAUGCUUCCGGAACUGGUCCUCUACUAUCAAUUGCUUGCGAUCUUCUUCUUCUUCCUCAUCCACAUCCCAGUUCCACUGCCAUUGAAGACCCUCCUGAUACUGGAGGAGCUGCUGCUGCUGCCACCAUAUCAUCUGCUCGGUGGUGCAGAUGGUGAAGUCCAAAGUCAAACUAAUCUGGCUUUACAUGCUGAAAUACAGGCCAGGCAGCCUCUAUAUAUUUGCAGCUGACAGCACAGUGUCAUGGAGCACUUGGCUCCAUGCUGGCCAACAGCAAUUCAAAAAUGGCCCUAGCCCAACCAUAAAGGAGGUAUAGGAUGAAGACAGCUGAAUCAUGGAAUUUAAAAAAAUGUGAUUUUCAGCCUGGCAUCCCAUAAUGCACACACAACAGCAAAGGCCGAUGGGAUAUCCUCUAAGAAUGCUAUGCCCUCAGUCCACAGCACACCACUGCUUUGUGUACACUACAUGCACUUACAGAGGACACACCAGCCCUUGUGCACACUAUUACUGAGGCUUCUGUGCGGUGUGUUAUCUGAUGUACAGCAAAAAGUUGGGCUUUGGGUAGACAAGCACUUAGUGAGGGCUGUUUCAGUGGAAUGGAGCAGAUCAAGGUUAGAGUAGAGGAAGUCAAGGCAUUGUGCAAGAAAAACUGCAGGAGGAUCUUAAAAAUAAAAAAAGAAGAGGGUAAUAGGUUGAUAGCAAUGUCAGGCUGAAUUAGGUCACAUUAACAGCCCAAAGGUUAAAGUAAUUGACAUGCAUUUAGAAGAAGCUGGAGACCAGAAACUCGGUUUUAAUAUGCCUGGAUAUACACAUUAAGGACCCAAUCCAAAUUGUUAUAGGGCUCAACUAAAUUCCUAAUAGACAGACAAUGGGUAAUGGCUGAGUUAAAUCUAAGAGUUUAAAUUGUUGCUAAAAGUUACAGUUCUGGUCCCAAAUGUAUAGAUAAAUACUCUGUUUUUCAUUUGCAUGUUGUGAAAGGAUAAUGAAGGUCCUUAAAAUGGAUUUGGAAAAUAGUUAGUUCUUCACAGAGUGGGUUUUAAAUCUUAAAAUGGUAGAGGACAGUAAAUGACAAUUAGCAAUAUCUUUUGGAUUUCUAGACAGAGUCAGUGUAGAAUGCUGAUCACUCAGCAAACGAAGAACUAUGAGGGUCAAUAUUUUUUUCCUGGAAAUUUAUCCUGUAACUCUAGCUAAAAAUACAUGAACUUAAUUCCAUUGAUAAAAAUGUUUAAUAAUGUAGUCACAUGCUAUAGAAAAAUACAGUGUGCAAAAUGGAGGGAGAGGGCAUGAUUUGUUUUGGGACUCUGCUUCUGCCAAAAUAUUGCUGGAACAGACAGGGCCGGUGCUAUCAUUUAGGCCAACUAGGCAGUUGCCUAGGGCACCAAGAUUUGGGGGAUGCCAAAAAGCAGCACCCCCAAUUUUUUUUUUUAAACAGUGGCCGCUGCGCUGAGAGUCUGAGGUGUCCCCGGCAGCCCAGGGGUCCCCAGGUCAGCGCGCCGCCGGCAGCCCAGGGGAACCCCUGGGUCAGAGCUGCCACAUGGAUCCCGAGCCUGGGGGUG